CAACCUUGAAUAUACGAUUGCUAAGAGAAGUAAUAUCGGAAUUUAGCAUUGCUGAUCCAUUUUCGAUCGACGGACUUGGACUCAAACUGGGAAUUGCUGACUCCAAAACUGGGUUCCCAUUCUUUUUUUUCGUGGCAGAAUAACUACGUUUCAGACGUUUUGAGUAAUGACAUUCUUCUUGGUACACUAUGCAAUUUUGACAGCUAGGUAGUUCGCGAUUGCAGCGAAUCUUUUUGCGUCGACAAAGUUCACAUGCCUUACUAGCCUUUUCCACAGAAGUCAUUUGCCCUAACGAAAAGUAAUUUACAUUUAAAAUUUAAUUUUUCUCUCGAUUGAUCUAAACGGAAAUGCAAAGUAAUUUGGCUGUGAAGUAUUGGCUCAAACAAGCAGAUAAUUCAGGCAAAAUGAGCAGCCCUUCCACGGACAACUGCGCUUUACAAUUUUUAACGAUAAUGUGAGCGAUCGAAUGUGACUUAGUACGGUAUUUGCCGUUUAUUUCGAAAUCUGGUGAAUAUACUUAAGGAAGGUGAUCUUGGAAGUAUCAGCGCCCUUUUUGUACUAUAUAAAUCUCCGGAUACCAAUUACAGGCGACUAUUGUAAAAACAGGAAAAAUAAUCGAGUCGUUGCAGAAGGUAUAUAGUAGUAGCUUGUGUUUGAGUAUGUGUUUCCUUUAAAUUAAACUCGGCUGUUCUCUGUUUACCACCACCUAUAAGAACCAUAUAAGAUUUAUUAGUGCGACAGACAAUAAAUAACAACUAGAAGAACAAUUGUAAUUAAAUUCUAUAAUUCCAAGAUACACAUUAAGAUGAAACCAGUAGUAAUUUUGUAGCAAUUUGCUUUUUCUUACCAUAUAAUAUCGGUUUUCCUCAUUUACCUGAUCUAUCUAAAUAUCCGCGGACUUUACUUUCGGACUUAUCAUAGAAAACUCCAUAAACCAGAAAGCAACUCUCUUUAGUGCCUUGAGUUCCUUUUUAUUUAAAAAAAAAUCUUUUCCCUUAUUUUCAAUGCUAAUACAGAUGAAAAUUUUCACAAAAAAAUCAGUUUUUAGAUCUGAUAGCCCUAAUUGCGUUUCAUUACAGUUGACGAUAGAAAACGCAAGUUAAUGAAUAUUUUAAAUAGUAAAACUUUUAG